rnacentral:rRNA from 1 species
CCUACGUGUGGCAGCAGUGGGGAAUAUUGGACAAUGGGCGAAAGCCUGAUCCAGCCAUGCCGCGUGUGUGAAGAAGGCCUUCGGGUUGUAAAGCACUUUCAGUGGGGAAGAAAGCCUUGGGGCUAAUACCCUCGAGGAAGGACAUCACCCACAGAAGAAGCACCGGCUAACUCCGUGCCAGCAGCCGCGGUAAUACGGAGGGUGCGAGCGUUAAUCGGAAUUACUGGGCGUAAAGCGCGCGUAGGCGGUCUGAUAAGCCGGUUGUGAAAGCCCCGGGCUCAACCUGGGAACGGCAUCCGGAACUGUCAGGCUAGAGUGCAGGAGAGGAAGGUAGAAUUCCCGGUGUAGCGGUGAAAUGCGUAGAGAUCGGGAGGAAUACCAGUGGCGAAGGCGGCCUUCUGGACUGACACUGACGCUGAGGUGCGAAAGCGUGGGUAGCAAACAGGAUUAGAUACCCUUGUAGUC